rnacentral:rRNA from 1 species
GACCCCGUGAACCUUUACUAUAGCUUGACACUGAACAUUGAGCCUUGAUGUGUAGGAUAGGUGGGAGGCUUUGAAGUGUGGACGCCAGUCUGCAUGGAGCCGACCUUGAAAUACCACCCUUUAAUGUUUGAUGUUCUAACGUUGGCCCGUAAUCCGGGUUGCGGACAGUGUCUGGUGGGUAGUUUGACUGGGGCGGUCUCCUCCUAAAGAGUAACGGAGGAGCACGAAGGUUGGCUAAUCCUGGUCGGACAUCAGGAGGUUAGUGCAAUGGCAUAAGCCAGCUUGACUGCGAGCGUGACGGCGCGAGCAGGUGCGAAAGCAGGUCAUAGUGAUCCGGUGGUUCUGAAUGGAAGGGCCAUCGCUCAACGGAUAAAAGGUACUCCGGGGAUAACAGGCUGAUACCGCCCAAGAGUUCAUAUCGACGGCGGUGUUUGGCACCUCGAUGUCGGCUCAUCACAUCCUGGGGCUGAAGUAGGUCCCAAGGGUAUGGCUGUUCGCCAUUUAAAGUGGUACGCGAGCUGGGUUUAGAACGUCGUGAGACAGUUCGGUCCCUAUCUGCCGUGGGCG